rnacentral:rRNA from 1 species
UACGUAGGGGGCAAGCGUUGUCCGGAUUUAUUGGGCGUAAAGAGCGUGUAGGCGGCCAGGUAGGUCCGUUGUGAAAACUCGAGGCUCAACCUCGAGACGCCGAUGGAAACCAUCUGGCUAGAGUCCGGGAGAGGUGAGUGGAAUUCCCAGUGUAGCGGUGAAAUGCGCAGAUAUUGGGAGGAACACCAGUGGCGAAGGCGGCUCACUGGACUGGUACUGACGCUGAUGCGCGAAAGCGUGGGGAGCAAACAGG